UACGUAGGGUGCGAGCGUUGUCCGGAAUUAUUGGGCGUAAAGAGCUUGGAGGCGGGCUGUCGCGUCUGCUGUGAAAAUCCGGGGCUCAACCCCGGACUUGCAGUGGGUACGGGCAGACUAGAGUGUGGUAGGGGAGACUGGAAUUCCUGGUGUAGCGGUGAAAUGCGCAGAUAUCAGGAGGAACACCGAUGGCGAAGGCAGGUCUCUGGGCCACUACUGACGCUGAGAAGCGAAAGCAUGGGGAGCGAACAGG
rnacentral:rRNA from 1 species